UAUUUCUGGGGUAGGGGUGAAAUCCUAUAAUCCCAGGAGGACCACCAGUGGCGAAGGCUGUCUGCUAGAACGCGCCCGACGGUGAGGGAUGAAAGCUGGGGGAGCGAACCGGAUUAGAUACCCGGGUAGUCCCAGCUGUAAACGAUGCAGACUAGGUGUUUGGACGGCCACGUGCCGUUCUAGUGCCGCAGGGAAGCUGUUAAGUCUGCCGCCUGGGGAGUACGAUCGCAAGAUUGAAACUUAAAGGAAU
rnacentral:rRNA from 1 species